CCUACGGGGAGCAGCAGUGAGGAAUAUUGGUCAAUGGGCGGAAGCCUGAACCAGCCAAGUAGCGUGCAGGAUGACGGCCCUACGGGUUGUAAACUGCUUUUAUACGGGAAUAACGCGCCUUACGUGUAGGGCUUUGCAUGUACCGUAUGAAUAAGGACCGGCUAAUGCCGUGCCAGCAGCCGCGGUAAUACGGAAGGUCCGGGCGUUAUCCGGAUUGAUUGGGUGUAAAGGGAGCGUAGGCCGCAUGUCAAGCGUGCUGUGAAAUGUCCGGGCUCAACCCGGGCCUUGCAGCGCGAACUGGCGUGCUUGAGUCCGCGGAAGGCAGGCGGAAUUCGUGGUGUAGCGGUGAAAUGCUUAGAUAUGACGAGGAACCCCGAUUGCGAAGGCAGCUUGCUGCAGCGGAACUGACGCUGAUGCUCGAAAGCGCGGGUAUCGAACAGGAUUAGAUACCCCAGUAGUC
rnacentral:rRNA from 1 species